rnacentral:rRNA from 1 species
GGCCCAAAUCUUACGGAGGCAGCAGUGGGGAAUUUUGCACAAUGGGGAAAGCCUGAUGCAGGGACGCCGCUUGAGGGAUAAAGCCUUCGGGUUUUAACCUUUUUCAGCAGGGAAGAAGCGCCAGUGACGGUACCUGCAGAAGAAGCGCCGGCUAACUACGUGCCAGCAGCCGCGGUAAUACGUAGGGCGCAAGCGUUGUCCGGAAUUAUUGGGCGUAAAGAGCUCGUAGGCGGUUUGUCGCGUUUGGUGUGAAAACUCGAGGCUCAACCUCGAGCUUGCAUCGGGUACGGGCAGACUAGAGUGCGGUAGGGGAGACUGGAAUUCCUGGUGUAGCGGUGGAAUGCGCAGAUAUCAGGAGGAACACCGAUGGCGAAGGCAGGUCUCUGGGCCGCAACUGACGCUGAGGAGCGAAAGCAUGGGGAGCGAACAGGAUUAGAUACCCUGGUAGUCCAUGCCGUAAACGUUGGGCACUAGGUGUGGGGCUCAUUCCACGAGUUCCGUGCCGCAGCAAACGCAUUAAGUGCCCCGCCUGGGGAGUACGGCCGCAAGGCUAAAACUCAAAGGAAUUGACGGGGGCCCGCACAAGCGGCGGAGCAUGCGGAUUAAUUCGAUGCAACGCGAAGAACCUUACCAAGGCUUGACAUGCACGAGAAGCCACCAGAGAUGGUGGUCUCUUUGGACACUCGUGCACAGGUGGUGCAUGGUUGUCGUCAGCUCGUGUCGUGAGAUGUUGGGUUAAGUCCCGCAACGAGCGCAACCCUCGUCCCAUGUUGCCAGCGGGUUAUGCCGGGGACUCAUGGGAGACUGCCGGGGUCAACUCGGAGGAAGGUGGGGAUGACGUCAAAUCAUCAUGCCCCUUAUGUCUUGGGCUUCACGCAUGCUACAAUGGCCGGUACAAAGGGCUGCGAUACCGUAAGGUGGAGCGAAUCCCAAAAAGCCGGUCUCAGUUCGGAUUGGGGUCUGCAACUCGACCCCAUGAAGUCGGAGUCGCUAGUAAUCGCAGAUCAGCAACGCUGCGGUGAAUACGUUCCCGGGCCUUGUACACACCGCCCGUCAAGUCACGAAAGUCGGUAACACCCGAAGCCCAUGGCCCAACCGUUCGCGGGGGGAGUGUCGAAGUGA